GCUCUGGACAUUGUUUUGGCCACAACUGACAAUGUGAAAGUUCGUUUAACAAGGCGAGGUACAAUAAUAAACUUGAGAAGGGCUGGAUGUAAACGAAGUCGUCGAGACAAGAUCAUCCCAGAAGAUGACUUACAGAGAAUGGAAAGAGUUGAGGGCAUGAUCUCUGAACUCAAGAAAGCCAAAGACUCCCACCUGAUAGUAGCCACACUCAUUGCAACAGUAACUUUCGCAGCCGGUUUCACAAUUCCUGGUGGAUACAUUUCUGAUAAAGGGACUGCAGUAUUAUCAAAAAAGUCAGCAUUUCAAGUGUUUCUUCUAUCAAAUGGAUUUGCACUUGUGUUCUCCACUUCUGUUGUGCUUAUCCAGUUCAUGUUGGCAAUGCAAGGAAAUAAGAGAAAGUUCUUUCAGUUGUUUUCCUGUGCUUCUUGGUUGACCAUCAUCGCUACAAUAUUAAUGGUGGUGGCCUUUACAACAGGCACAUAUGUUGCGCUGCCAAGUUCCUACAGGAACAUCACUUGGAUCUUCGUAGGGAGCUUUUUGGUUUCAAUGCUCCUCAUAUUGAGGGCUUCACUCCCACUCUCUCAAGUUAGAACUGGAGAUUUAGAUUAAUCUUUUUUCAAGUAUUUGAGAAAUUCCUGGAUAAUUUAAAUAUAAAAUAAUUCAUCUGCUUAUA
rnacentral:misc_RNA from 1 species